UACGUAGGGUGCGAGCGUUGUUCGGAAUCAUUGGGCGUAAAGCGCGUGUAGGUGGUUAAGUAAGUCGGAUGUGAAAGCCCUCGGCUCAACCGGGGAAGUGCAUCCGAAACUACUCAGCUAGAGGACGGUAGAGGAAGGUGGAAUUCCUAGUGUAGAGGUGAAAUUCGUAGAUAUUAGGAGGAAUACCGGCGGCGAAGGCGGCCUUCUGGGCCGUUCCUGACACUGAGACGCGAAAGCGUGGGGAGCAAACAGG
rnacentral:rRNA from 1 species